GGUCUAUGAGCUCAGUCGGUAGAGCACCUGACUUUUAAUCAGGGUGUCCCGCGUUCGAGUCGCGGAUAGAUCACCA
rnacentral:tRNA from 1 species